UUGGUCUCAUCUAUGGCAGUGGUGGGGAACCUAUGGCACGGGUGCCAGAGGCAGCACUCAGAGCCCUCUCUGUGGACACCCACGCCCUGGAUAAAGUCUAUGUUGUACCAAUAUGCCUUAGACUUCUUCUGCCAUUCAUCAGUGCAGGGCGCACUA